CAAUAGCGUAUAUUAAAGUUGUUGCGGUUAAAAAGCUCGUAGUUGGAUUUCAGCCGAGGACGACCGGUCUGUCUUAAUGGAUGGCACCAGGUUUGGCCGAGGCAUUUCCUGGUGAUUGUGUGUGGCUUGAUUGUUGCACAUUGGUUAUCAGGGCUUUUACUUUGAGGAAAUUAGAGUGUUUCAAGCAGGCAUCUGCCUUGAAUACAUUAGCAUGGAAUAAUAAGAUAUGACUUUGGUUUUAUUUUGUUGGUUUUUGAGACUGAAGUAAUGAUUAAUAGGGAUAGUCGGGGGCAUUCGUACUUAACUGUCAGAGGUGGAAUUCUUGGAUUUGUUAAAGACGAACUACUGCGAAAGCAUUUGCCAAGGAUGUUUUCAUUGAUCAAGAACGAAAGUUAGGGGAUCGAAGACGA
rnacentral:rRNA from 1 species